rnacentral:rRNA from 1 species
UACGGGGGGAGCAAGCGUUGUUCGGAUUUACUGGGCGUAAAGGGCGCGUAGGCGGCGUGACAAGUCACUUGUGAAAUCUCCGGGCUUAACCCGGAGCGGCCAAGUGAUACUGUCGUGCUAGAGUGCGGAAGGGGCUACUGGAAUUCUCGGUGUAGCGGUGAAAUGCGUAGAUAUCGCUUGGAACGCCAAAGGUGAAAACAGGUUGCUGGGGUUGUGCCGACGCUGAGACACGAAAGCCAGGGGAGCAAACGGG